rnacentral:rRNA from 1 species
UACAGAGGGUGCAAGCGUUAAUCGGAAUUACUGGGCGUAAAGGGUGCGUAGGUGGUGAAGUAAGUUAGGUGUGAAAGCCCUGGGCUCAACCUGGGAAUUGCAGUGGAUGCUGGCAAGCUAGAGUGCGGUAGAGGAUGGUGGAAUUCCCGGUGUAGCGGUGAAAUGCGUAGAUAUCAGGAGGAACACCGGUGGCGAAGGCGGCUUUCUGGACAGAUACCGACGCUGAGGCACGAAAGCUAGGGGAGCAAACAGG